rnacentral:rRNA from 1 species
CAUACGACCGUACCGCAAACCGACACUGGUGCGCGAGAUGAGUAUUCUAAGGCGCUUGAGAGAACUCAGGAGAAGGAACUCGGCAAAUUGACACCGUAACUUCGGAAGAAGGUGUGCCCUAUUAGUGUGUAGUGAACAACGAAGCAUGAAUGGGUUGCAAAAAAUCGGUGGCUGCGACUGUUUAUUAAAAACACAGCACUCUGCAAACACGAAAGUGGACGUAUAGGGUGUGACGCCUGCCCGGUGCUGGAAGAUUAAAUGAUGGGGUGCAAGCUCUUGAUUGAAGUCCCAGUAAACGGCGGCCGUAACGAUAACGGUCCUAAGGUAGCGAAAUUCCUUGUCGGGUAAGUUCCGACCUGCACGAAUGGCGUAACGAUGGCCACACUGUCUCCUCCUGAGACUCAGCGAAGUUGAAAUGUUUGUGAUGAUGCAAUCUCCCCGCGGAAAGACGGAAAGACCCCAUGAACCUUUACUGUAGCUUUGUAUUGGACUUUGAACAGAUCUGUGUAGGAUAGGUGGGAGGCUUUGAAGCAGGGUCGCUAGAUCUUGUGGAGCCAACGUUGAAAUACCACCCUGGUGUGUUUGAGGUUCUAACCUAGGUCCAUUAUCUGGAUCGGGGACAGUGCAUGGUAGGCAGUUUGACUGGGGCGGUCUCCUCCCGAAGCGUAACGGAGGAGUUCGAAGGUACGCUAGUUACGGUCGGACAUCGUGACGAUAGUGCAAUGGCAUAAGCGUGCUUAACUGCGAGACUGACAAGUCGAGCAGAUGCGAAAGCAGGACAUAGUGAUCCGGUGGUUCUGUAUGGAAGGGCCAUCGCUCAACGGAUAAAAGGUACUCUGGGGAUAACAGGCUGAUACCGCCCAAGAGUUCAUAUCGACGGCGGUGUUUGGCACCUCGAUGUCGGCUCAUCUCAUCCUGGGGCUGUAGCCGGUCCCAAGGGUAUGGCUGUUCGCCAUUUAAAGAGGUACGUGAGCUGGGUUUAAAACGUCGUGAGACAGUUUGGUCCCUAUCUUCCGUGGGCGCUGCAGAUUUGAGGAAGCCUGCUCCUAGUACGAGAGGACCGGAGUGGACACACCUCUGGUGUAUCGGUUGUCACGCCAGUGGCAUUGCCGAGUAGCUAAGUGUGGAAGAGAUAACCGCUGAAAGCAUCUAAGCGGGAAACUCGUUUCAAGAUGAGAUCUGCCGGGGCCUCGAGCCCCCUAAAGAGUCGUUCAAGACCAGGACGUUGAUAGGUCAGGUGUGGAAGCG